rnacentral:rRNA from 1 species
GAUGAACGCUGGCGGCGUGCCUAAUACAUGCAAGUCGAGCGAACAGACGAGGAGCUUGCUCCUCUGACGUUAGCGGCGGACGGGUGAGUAAAACGUGGAUAACCUACCUAUAAGACUGGGAUAACUUCGGGAAACCGGAGCUAAUACCGGAAAAUAUAUUGAACAGCAUGGUGAAAUAGUGAAAGACGGUUUUGCUUUCACUUAUAGAUGGAUCCGCGCCGCAUUAGCUAGUUGGUAAGGUAACGGCUUACCAAGGCAACGAUGCGUAGCCGACCUGAGAGGGUGAUCGGCCACACUGGAACUGAGACACGGUCCAGACUCCUACGGGAGGCAGCAGUAGGGAAUCUUCCGCAAUGGGCGAAAGCCUGACGGAGCAACGCCGCGUGAGUGAUGAAGGUCUUCGGAUCGUAAAACUCUGUUAUUAGGGAAGAACAAAUGUGGAAGUAACUAUGCACGUCUUGACGGUACCUAAUCAGAAAGCCACGGCUAACUACGUG